CGUCGCUCCCAAAGUUCAAAUAUUUGAACUUUGGGAGCGACUAGCCGCGACUCCGUGCCGCGACAGCCAAUCAGGGCUCUGCUGACGUCAACAAACCGGCGAAGCAAGGAGGAGGAGGGGAAAAUCAAAAAUCAAACAAUGGAGGAACAGUUAAUCACGGCGGUAAGCUUCCACCCGGUCCUGUACGACGUGGGGUGCGGACUGUACCGGGACCGCACCUCCAAGGACGAGGCAUGGGUGAAGGUGGCCCAUGAUGUCGGGCUUUCUGGUAAGUUUGUUUGUGUAUUUAUUUCAGUGAGCGGACAGUUUUAUGAAAACAUAGCUAACUGCCCCUGUAUGCUAGGCUACAUGUUUCAACGUAUGUGUGUGUGUCUUUGCAGUGGAUGUGUGCUGCAAGCGGUGGAAGGGGCUGCGGGACGUUUACUUGAGGGAGAAAAGGAGGGAGAAAGAAGGCGGGAGAAGCGGGUCGGCGGCCUCCCAGCAGAGGAAGUGGCGUUUCACUGCGGUGAUGUCCUUCCUCGACCCCUUUAUUGCCCCGAGGGACACAUCAAGCAACAUGUCUCGGGAGGUCGAGGAAGACUUCACCGCAGAAAAUGCUGCUUCUUCUGCUGGGAUGCCUGAAGACCUGGAGGAAGCAGGCCCCUCAGGAGUGGAGUUUGACGGUUGGUUGAUGAGUGAAAAACAUAGCAAAUAAAUUUGAGUCCCCUCAUGGUUUAAACACACCAUUGUAGUCUAAUUUAAGAUGGACAGAUCAAGUCAUGCACAUGUAAUGUGUGAACAUUUUUUAUUUGAAUAACAAUGUUGCCUGAUUGCAGAGUUUUGAUUUCAGACAUUUUUGUCACAACUUUAACUAAAGAUAAGCCUGCUCCCUCUCCUGCUUCAGCUCCCUCUCCUGCAGCAGCUCCCUCUCCUGCCCCAGCUCCAUCUCCUGCUUCAGCUCCCUCUCCUGC